GGUUGGCUAAUCCUGGUCGGACAUCAGGAGGUUAGUGCAAUGGCAUAAGCCAGCUUGACUGCGAGCGUGACGGCGCGAGCAGGUGCGAAAGCAGGUCAUAGUGAUCCGGUGGUUCUGAAUGGAAGGGCCAUCGCUCAACGGAUAAAAGGUACUCCGGGGAUAACAGGCUGAUACCGCCCAAGAGUUCAUAUCGACGGCGGUGUUUGGCACCUCGAUGUCGGCUCAUCACAUCCUGGGGCUGAAGUAGGUCCCAAGGGUAUGGCUGUUCGCCAUUUAAAGUGGUACGCGAGCUGGGUUUAGAACGUCGUGAGACAGUUCGGUCCCUAUCUGCCGUGGGCGCUGGAGAACUGAGGGGGGCUGCUCCUAGUACGAGAGGACCGGAGUGGACGCAUCACUGGUGUUCGGGUUGUCAUGCCAAUGGCACUGCCCGGUAGCUAAAUGCGGAAGAGAUAAGUGCUGAAAGCAUCUAAGCACGAAACUUGCCCCGAGAUGA
rnacentral:rRNA from 1 species